UGCCAGCCGCCGCGGUAACACGGGGGGUGCAAGCGUUAUUCGGAAUUAUUGGGCGUAAAGCGCACGCAGGCGGUGUGGUCAGUCAGAUGUGAAAGCCCGGGGCUCAACCCCGGAACUGCGCUCAAAACUGGCAGGCUAGAGACCGGAAGAGGAGAGCGGAAUUCCUAGUGUAGAGGUGAAAUUCGUAGAUAUUAGGAAGAACACCAGUGGCGAAGGCGGCUUUCUGGACCGAUACUGACGCUGAGACGCGAAAGCGUGGGGAGCAAACAGGAUUAGAUA
rnacentral:rRNA from 1 species